rnacentral:tRNA from 1 species
GCCGGAGUAGCUCAGUUGGCAGAGCGCCCGGCUGUUAUAACCGGGUGGUCGGAGGUUCGAGUCCUCCCUCCGGCG